GACGAACGCUGGCGGCGUGCUUAACACAUGCAAGUCGAACGGAGUGGCGAACGGGGGAGUAACACGUGGGUGACCUGCCCUGCACUUCGGGAUAAGCCUGGGAAACUGGGGCUAAUACCGGAUAGUGUGGGAUGGGCCCGGGGCCUAUCAGCUUGUUGGUGGGGUAAUGGCCUAGCAAGGCGGCGACGGGUAGCCGGCCUGUGAGGGUGGACGGCCACAUUGGGACUGAGACACGGCCCAGACUCCUACGGGGGGCAGCGGGGGGGAGUAUUGCACAAUGGGCGGAAGUCUGAUGCGGCGACGCCGCGUGGGUGAUGACGGCCUUCGGGUUGUAAACUCCUUUCACCAUCGACGCGGUAGAUGGAGAAGAAGCACCGGCUAACUACGUGCCAGCAGCCGCGGUAAUAC
rnacentral:rRNA from 1 species